rnacentral:rRNA from 1 species
UACGGAGGGUGCGAGCGUUGUCCGGAAUCACUGGGCGUAAAGGGCGCGUAGGUGGCUUGGUAAGCGUGCGGUGAAAGCCCGGGGCUCAACCCCGGGUCGGCCGUGCGGACUACCAUGGCUUGAGCACUGUAGAGGCAGGUAGAAUUCCGGGUGUAGCGGUGGAAUGCGUAGAGAUCCGGAAGAAUACCGGUGGCGAAGGCGGCCUGCUGGGCAGUAGCUGACACUGAGGCGCGACAGCGUGGGGAGCAAACAGG